GAUAAGGUGUUUGUUUCGUUAUCUGUUUAGAUGACCUCACACUUAUCUUGGGUCAGCCUCCAUCCCACCUUGAGGGUGUUCAACUGAAGAGAUUCUCCUGUCCCUGCUGAAGUGUCUUCUCUUUAUCACCACCCAAUGGACAUAUUUGAAUCAAUGGCAGACGGGUCCUCUAAACCCACUCCAACUUCUGUCUUUCUUGCAGCCCACUUGGGAUCUGGAGAGUAAUACACCCAAGACUAAAUCCGCUGAUAUUCUCGCUGUGUUUGAAGCUUGGGUUGAAUACUCACAGGCUGCAUAAUGAGCAGGUCUGGCCUUGAGAGUAGCAGAGCAGCAGGCAGGCAAGAGGGCUUGUGCAGAGAGGAGACCAGAGAGGCAGUAAAAGUCAGCAGUGGUAACCUUGUCCGCCCAUGGUCACGGGUCAUUUGGCAAGCGCGCUACAGAAUUCAUUUCACUAAGAAGGAGAGAAUGCGAAAGGAGAGUGAACGAGAGGAAAUAGGAGGCGACUGAGAGGGACAUUGAUGGAGGAAGAAGGCGAUGAUAAAUUUGAAUAGAAACAAUUGUUCGGUUACAACAGCCUGAUGUCUCUUUUUAGCAUUGUGAUCAAUACAAAUGCUGGCAUUCAGCUGUUAUAUGAUCAUUUUGUAGCACUUUCUGAUGGAUU
ensembl:processed_transcript si:ch211-147m20.3 si:ch211-147m20.3